rnacentral:rRNA from 1 species
UACAGAGGUCUCAAGCGUUGUUCGGAUUCAUUGGGCGUAAAGGGCGCGUAGGCGGCGGGGUAAGUCUGGUGUGAAAUCUCGGAGCUCAACUCCGAAAUUGCACUGGAUACUGCUCUGCUUGAGGGUUGGAGAGGAGAUCGGAAUUCACGGUGUAGCAGUGAAAUGCGUAGAUAUCGUGAGGAAGACCAGUGGCGAAGGCGGAUCUCUGGACAGUUCCUGACACUGAGACACGAAGGCCAGGGGAGCAAACGGG